rnacentral:lncRNA from 1 species
GGAGAUCAGCCAUUCAACAUCAGGAACGACCCCCACCCCCUCGAAACUUAAUCUCCUUUACCCUAACCAGCCGCUGAACCCUAUCAGACUUUAUUUCCUUCAGCACAAAACAACGACCACCCUUCAGCUUCCACCCACCACAACGCCGACCACCCCUCCUAGCCGUCCCUUCUAACCUCAUCUCCUAACCCCUUUACCAUUCGACCCAAACUUCCCGAACCUCACGCCUCUCAUUCUUCUAAGCCGCCGGACCUCCACUCCAAACUCCUACCUCCUCUCAAAGACUAGAAACAGCCCCACGCCACCAGACUUCCGCCAAAAUCCCUGAAAGAAAAGGAAAACGAGAAACAGGGGAGGGGCAAGUCACACACACACGAGAAACAAGCUGAAAAACGAGGAAAAGGGGGGGUUCGGACAGAAAUUUCGGAGAAAAAUGGAGAGAAAGAGCUAGGGUUUUUGGAUUUUCAGUUGUUCUUCUAAUUUUUCAUUCAUUCAAAAAUUUAGAGUUCUCUUUUAGUUUUCUUUUGGGUUCCUAAAAAAGAAAAUCAAAGAACUGUUUGCCGCUGUUGUUUUGUUCGAAAUUCCAGUGCUGAUUCGAGUUUUCAUCCGAGGUUCGAGGUUCCGAUUUGUCUUGCGGUUCCUGCUUGACUUCCCCGCUAUUGUUUUGUUUUGAGUUUUGAAGAUGAGAUCUGCAUCAGUUUGCCUAUUUUUUUAACUCCAGGUUCAUCCUUUCCCUUUUCUAUCUUGUUCACUAUUAUUUAUGAUGAAUAUUAAGCAUUGGAAGAAUUAUUUUAAGAUCCGUUGAGGUUUGGUUGAUUCAUAUUGAUUUGGUUUAUGGCUUUUAGUUAUUGUCUUCCCUAAAUUUCCUUUAGUGAAUUAUCUGUGAUGGAGUUUGGAUGAAUUCAAAAAUGUGUUAAACCCUCUAUCUGUUAUUUUGCUAUUUAAUUUCGAACUUGAGUGUAUAAUUUUAGCAAUCUUAUAAGAUCUUGUAAAGAUUUGGUUUCCUGUUUGUGAGACCUUGCAAAAUACUAGUGUAAAUGGAUUUGUUAAUUAAUGUUAGCUUCAGCUGAUACAGGGCGGUAGGUGGUUAACAGGUCCUUAAAAUGAAGCUUUAGCUACAUGAUUUGCGUGCAAGUGCUUUGGUAGAUCUUGUGACCAUUAGACUGCCCCUUUGUCCUAAUUGCAUUUAUUGUCGGUUUUUACAUUAAGAGAUUCUCCUAAUUGAAGGAAAGUUCCAUAAGCCCAAUAAGGAUCCAACUCUAUGGCUUGUGCUUCAUCCUUCUGCACUUUCUUCUUCUGUUUACUUCUUGUCAUUCUUAUUAGUUGCAGAAAUGAAUUACAAAAGAAAGUGUUUUGAAUAGUUAAGCUCACUUAUAUUAGGAAAUCUUUCAAUAGCUCUUCUCAUGGCUUAAAUUCACCUUUACUUUUAUUAGCCUCUUAGUCUCCUUCUCAAAUGUUCAUUUUUGCUUUCGAUGCUUGUUAUGGAUACUUUACUUUGCUGAUGAUUAAUUUUGUUGAACACGAAUUAUUUUGAAUGAUUGUUGGGUUGGGGUAUGGGAAAAGACCGAGCUCACCAGUGAUUAAACUAUGCUUUAAGAUUGGGUUUGAUCCAAAUACAUAAAAAAUAAAAAGUCAAGUAACUCAUGAACACCGUUGGUAUACUUUUAGGCACGCUUUUAAUCUAUUAUCGUAGCUACGGUACGAUUUCCGUGAUGUAGUUGUGAUACAUAAUUUUCAAAUCUGGGGGUACAUUUAUGUGACCCGGACACAACUUCUAAUAAUGUUAAUAAAAAUAAACACGUUGUAUAUCGUGGGUACUGUUCCCUUGACAUAUUUCGCAAUGUGUACCAAAUAAACGAGUGUGUGACAUCGCGACUUGUUCCAACCUAAUUCCAUAAAAUAAUUAAAAGCGGUUUUGAAAAUGCAAUAGGCUCUAAAUAUGUAAUUAAUCAGAUAAUUAGGCCAACAAUAAUAGUUGAGCGACCGUGCUAAAACCCCGGAACCCAAGAAUGCCUAACACUUUCUCCCGGGUUAACAUAAUUUCUUACCCGGAUUUCUGUGUUCGCAGACCAUAAAUAGAGUCAAUCUUCCUCGAUUCAGAAUUUUAAAACCGGUGACUUAGGACACCAUAAAUUAUCCCAAGUGGCGACUCUGGUUUUUAAAUAAAUAAUCUCGUUUCGAUUUUCACUUAAAUUGAAAAACUCACUUAUACCCCUAUUUCGGGGGUAGUAAAAAUGAGUUGUGACAAAGUGCAGCUCGAAAAUAUCAGGCAUCUCCUCUAAGGCUAUAUUAGAAGAUUGACCAACCAAGUCAAAGCCUCAAAUCACUCUAUUAAAUGAGGACAUGAAAAGGAAGGACAUAAACGAAUCCAACCCAUCUCUAAUGCAGGAUUCAGAGGCACUCCUUAGGUCAAAUCUCUUAGAGGAUUUAGUGCCUCAAUCAAGAUCAUUCUGCAACGGUCCUCAAACUGUCGUAUAAGAAGACUGCCAAUUUCAAAAAGAAGUGUUACGCAACUACAAACACUGUCUUCUAAGUCUCUCUAGUUCUUAGCUCAAACACUGUAUUUUUGAGUUUAUAAGUGUUACAAAAGAUAAGAAAAGUUAGAACACAAAAGAGAGUUGUGUCAACAUCCAGAAAUUACUGUUGCUAAUCAUCAUUGGUGGUGAACGAACUAAAACUAUCACUGUUGUAAUUUUUUAUCAAGAUCUAAGAGAACCAUUGUGACCCAAGGGAAACUGAAUGUAAGUACCACAUCGGUACCGAACUAGUAUAAAAGCUGAUGUGUCUUGUUUAGCUUUCAAUUCGUUUGGUUCAUCUUUACUUCAUCUAUCUGUUGUGCAAAACCUAGUCGACUAAACUUAUAAUUAAUCAACCAAUUUUUAAUAGACAACUAUUCAUCCCCUCUUGUACUUUCAGUAUGAAUGUGAAACAUGCAUGCUAGUCAAACUCAAAUAUAUAAGGCCAAAUACAUAGAUAGACCAUUAAACUUGGGCUAAUUUUUCAUUUUGGCACUUUAACUCAGUCUUGUUCCAUUUUGGCCCUCCAACUCCAUUACUUUUGUUCCACUUUAACACAAAAUUUUUUAUCCCAGGUAAAAAUGCAGCGCGUGCAAAUACCCAGCUGCUACCCCUUCCCCCGCGCAAAAGAAAAUAUUUUACUUUUUUUGUAAUUUUAAAUUAUUAUUUUUUUCGUUUUUCUGCUCCCUCCCGGGGAAAAAUUAUUUUAUAUAUAUAUUUUCAGUAAUAACUACGGGUUCAACUGAACCCAUAACUUUCGACGAAAUUUGUAUGUAAUUUUUUUUAAAAUUGCAAAAAUAAUAGAUAUGAACUCAUAACUUUAAAAAUAUGAUGGGUUCAAUGUUAAAAACAUUAAAAUUGAAUCCAUAGGAUUUAAAUCCUGGAUCCGCCUUUGCGUUGGGAGUAUGAACUUUGGCUUAAAAAAUGACUCUCACGCGCCUACAAGGGUGAGACAAAUCAAACAUGGAAUCUAGUCAGCUUUUGUGUUAAAAUGGAACAAAAAAAAUAAAAUUGGAGGGUCAAAAAUAGAACAAGACUGAGUUAGAAUGUUAAAAUGAAAAAUUGAGCUAAGUAUAAUGGCAUGUCUAUGUAUUUGGCCAAUAUAUAAUAUGGAAUCUCUAUCUCUCAGGCUGCAGGUGUACAUGUGAGCCAUGUGGGACCCUAAUUAAUUCCCUCACGUAUAGUUCCUGUCCUAUCAAGUGUUGAAGCUCUCUGCUUUUAAAUCCCAUCACAAAUCUCUCGUGACCACCCCUUACCACCGCAUAAUGGGCGAGGACGUCUCCUACCUUUAUUCUAUUUCUUGUUCCUAAAAUGAAAAAUUUCCUAUUUUGAGAACAACUUAUUUCAAUUAUUC